AUGGGACAAAGGAGUAAUAAUUUUGAACUUAGUUGUCUUCCUGAAAUCUCCAGAGUUCGUCGGUUCAGAUUGAGAUCACGCCCGCCGUCCAAGGACUGCAAAUUGGCUCUAAAAUUCCACCCAAUCCAAAGAGGUUCAUAUGGGUUUACAGGGCUGACCACUCCUACUGUAUAUAUGCAGGUGAACAACGCGGCGCAGGCUCUUGCCAAGGCGGUUGUGGAGUGCACACCGGAGGAGUACACGAACCUCAUGGCGACCAACCUAGAGUCGUGCUUCCACCUGAGCCAGCUCACGCACCCCUUGCUCCUCAGGGACUCCAUCGCCGGAGGAGGUAGCAUUGUCAACCUAUCCUCUCUUGGGGGCACGCUUGGGUUCCCAUGCUACACACUUUACGGUAUCAAAGAAGCUCGCACCGGACAUUUUAGAGAAGGAGUUGGCGAGGAUUCCGAUGCGGCAAGCAGGCGAGCCAGAGGACGUGGCUGCAAUGGUGUCGUUCCUCUGCAUGCCAGCGGCAUCCUUCAUCACUGGCCAGGUCAUCACCGUCGAUGA
rnacentral:rRNA from 1 species